rnacentral:rRNA from 1 species
GCAAGUCGAGGGACAGCAUAGUUUGCUUGCAAACAGAUGGCGACCGGCGGACGGGUGCGUAACGCGUAUACAACUUGCCUAUUACUAGGGGAUAGCUAUUGGAAACGAUGAAUAAGACUCUAUGGUCUGUGAAGCUGCAUGGUUUUAACAGUAAAGGAUUACGGUAAUAGAUAGGUAUGCGUCCAAUUAGCUAGUUGGUAAGGUAACGGCUUACCAAGGCGAUGAUUGGUAGGGGGCCUGAGAGGGUGAAC